UGACCUGAAAUCAGGCAAGGCCACCCGCUGAACUUAAGCAUAUUAAUAAGCGGAGGAAAAGAAACUAACAAGGAUUCC
rnacentral:rRNA from 5 species